rnacentral:piRNA from 1 species
UUCUCUCACAGCCUCCCACAUCAGAA